AUUGAACGCUGGUGGCAUGCUUAACACAUGCAAGUCGAACGGUAACGGAGGUGUGCUUGCACACCUGCCGACGAGUGGCGGACGGGUGAGUAAUGCAUAGGAAUCUGCCCAGCAGUGGGGGACAACUUAGGGAAACUUAAGCUAAUACCGCAUAAUGCCUAAGGGUUAAAGAUGGCUGUUUACAGCUGUCGCUGUCGGAUGAGCCUAUGUCAGAUUAGCUUGUUGGUGGGGUAAUGGCCCACCAAGGCAACGAUCUGUAGCUGUUCUGAGAGGAAGAUCAGCCACACUGGGACUGAGACACGGCCCAG
rnacentral:rRNA from 1 species